AAAAAAUUGUUCAUGUUCUAAGUAGCAUGAAACCAAUUCUUGGCACAUCCACCUGUUGAAGAAGAUUUGUUUGGAACCAUCUGAAACAACAAUAUAUAAUGUCUCUAUCAAUAAAUAUCCACAAAUUUU